AGGCUGCCGGCGCGGGCCAUCCUGCCUUUGCCCCUCAGGAGCCGCCGAUGGAAAAACGUUUUACAGACCCGGGAACGCAUGGCGGGCUCGCGGGGGGCCGUCGGGGAGUUCGUCCCCCGCCCCGGCUGUGGCGACGCUGCUUUGGGGCUUCCCGAAAGCGGCGGGGAGCGCGGAGCGGCGCCGGCGCCCAGCGGGAAAGAUGACGGCAUCCUGCCCAGUGGACUGAAUAAAUGAUAAUGCGCUCUUAUAGCCGUUUGGCCCGCAGUGAGGUAGCCAGCCUUGUUAGCUGCUCUUGUUAGAAUAAAGCGGAAUAAAAAAGAGUGGUUGGAUCAGAGCAAUUUGAAGAAUAGGAACAGUCCAGCUAUGACCUCACCAUAUUGAGCCUAGAACUUGGCAAGAUAAAGAGAAGCUGAGAGCUACUUGAACAGUCUUCUGCAUCAUUGGAUCCAGGCUUGCUCCACCAUAAAAUCUGUUAUGAACAGGAAACUGAAGGUAAUGUGUCUUUGUGAGUAUUACCAGUAGGGGGGAUUGUCUCCUACAGCUCUAGCAGCAGUGCAGUGCAACAGUCAGACAAAGGGCAUACUAUUAUUCAUGCUUUAUUUGGUACAAACAAUGCAUUUUAAUCUGUCUACCAGAAAUCAAGCCAGACUGAGUCAUAACUGUUUUGAGCUUGGAUGCCUGAAUUGUUCCUAGUGUCUGAGCUAGCCUUUUCCUAUAUCUGCCAAUCUGAUUUGCAAUCCAGAGGGGUUUGUAGUGUUAACGUAAGUACAUUGAGUAGGUUUUGACUAAUUCAGCCUCAGCUGAAAAUGAGUAUGUAUAUAAUGGGAU